UGCUCUUGACGGUAAUGGCCUUAUGAAGAAGAGGUGCUAUGUGCCCUGCAGUGCUGUGUCCCCUGUUCCCCAGGACCUGACACUUUAGGAGAAGCACAUGCAUUACCCGACUGAAGGAUGGCUGAUUUUCUGUAUCAGCUGCCAUGCUCUGAUGACUUCUAGAAGAGAAGGGAGUGAGACAGGAGGCUGCUGGACUAUCUCCAACAGUGAAUUCCUGGUUUGGAAUGUACUUCUCCUCCACCUAAUCCUGGACUUCAGGGGGUAGGAAGCUGACUCCAUCCAUCCCAAGCACCACCUCGGAAGCCAUGAGUUGAAGAUGCUGGAGGCACCAGAUGGAAGGAACCUGCAUCCUUGAAUUGCUGCUUGGAUGAGAACUGCCUACAAAUCAGGGGCACCUGCUUGGGACUUUAAUGAGCAUUCGAAUUCACCGAGUGUUGAAAAGAGGGUCAAGAGGAACCAAGUGACUCAUGGGACUUUGCUCCCAGGAAGAGAAAAAGGUGGAAGAGGCAGAGAGAAGAGUAAGAGGAGCAACAGAAGGAAGAGAGUAAGCAAGAGAAGGGCAUGAUCUCUUUGGACUUCAUAUUGCUGGUCUGUUAAAGGAAGAUGCG